ACGAACUCCUACGGGAGGCAGCAGUGGGGAAUAUUGGCACAAUGGGGAAACCCUGAUGCAGCGACGCCGCGUGGAGGAAGAAGGUCUUCGGAUUGUAAACUCCUGUUGUUGGGGAAGAUAAUGACGGUACCCAACAAGGAAGUGACGGCUAACUACGUGC
rnacentral:rRNA from 1 species